GGAGUUAGCCGGUGCUUCUUCUGCGAGUAACGUCACAGAUGUAAGGUAUUAACUUACACCCUUUCCUCCUCGCUGAAAGUGCUUUACAACCCGAAGGCCUUCUUCACACACGCGGCAUGGCUGCAUCAGGGUUUCCCCCAUUGUGCAAUAUUCCCCACUGCUGCCUCCCGUAGGAGUCUGGGCCGUGUCUCAGUCCCAGUGUGGCUGAUCAUCCUCUCAGACCAGCUAGGGAUCGUCGCCUAGGUGAGCCUUUACCUCACCUACUAGCUAAUCCCACCUGGGCUUAUCCAUCAGCGCAAGGCCCGAAGGUCCCCUGCUUUCCCCCGUAGGGCGUAUGCGGUAUUAGCAGUCGUUUCCAACUGUUAUCCCCACAAAUGGGCAAAUUCCCAGGCAUUACUCACCCGUCCGCCGCUCGUCAUCUUCAAAGCAAGCUUUUGAAAUGUUACCGCUCGACUUGCAUGUGUUAGGCCUGCCGCCAGCGUUCAAUCUGAGCCAUGACUCAAACUCUGA
rnacentral:rRNA from 1 species